UUUCUAUUUCUUUUCUGAAUUUCUCCGGAACUGUACAGGCACUUGCCAAAAAUGUAAAAAGUGGUAAAACUAGUGUUUUUAUAAUAAGAAUUUUCCCGAUUAAAGUUAAAUUACGUUUCCCCCAUAAAUGAAAUAGUUUAUUCCUUUCCUCAAUUUUAUUCUCCCAGUUUAUUUUUUUCACAUUCUUCUCUGUUAUAAACCAAAAUAUAUUCCCAAUGCUUUGACUGGUUUGUUUGUCCAAUUAAUCCCAGCUACCUUAUCUUUACUAUUUUUCAGUUUUCCUAUCCAUAUACCUCUGUUUUAUUUUUAUUCAAAGUUAACCCAGAAAAUGAUCCAAAAAUUUCUAUUUCAUUCAUAGCAGCUUUGAUUUCUUUCUUAUUACUGAGAAAUAAAGUAGUAUCAUCAGCUAAUUGUGAAAUUUUAAUGCUAUGAUUUUUAUUAUCUAGUUUAACUACGAACCCUUUGAUAUCUCUGUUUUUUCGAAGUCUUAAAGCCAUGAU
rnacentral:lncRNA from 1 species